GGGGAGGAAAAAAGUUGCCCUGCUGUUGUCUGGUGACAUUAAGCCCAAAGGGUGAUGCUUGUGAGGCUAACUGUAUUAUGGAUACGGCUGCUGAGCAGACUAGAAGAGAGACCAAGGAUUCAAAUGAGCAUGAAAACUGAAUCACCCUCAUCCUAAGGGAGCAAUUACACUAGGAAACGGCUUCCCGCAUAAGACAGACCUAUAUUGAUUGUCAGGACUAGAUAUGGGCCAAGGAAGGCCACUGGCUUUCUGUGUGUUCCAGCUGAUCCCAUCUCAUUUACACAUUCUUAUGGGAACAACAGGGAAGGUCUUUAGAACCAACUAGGGGACACAGCCCAAGAUCAGAGCUGCCAGACCUCAAUACCCUGCCAACAAUAUUGUUCAGAAGCUGGAGGCUUCAGAUGACCUGAUCCUGACUGGCCAGAAGGAAAAGUUCAUUUGCCUU